UUGUGUGCUGGCUUUGCGAAAGGACUGCAUGUGACUUAAGGCACAAAUUGAUGCUGGUUUUGAUACUUUUAUGGCCAAGAACAACUCCCAGAUUUAUCUUGCACGGACACUUUCAUUAGCCUAUGUUAUUCAAGUUGUCAUCACCUGGUUUGAGGAUUCCAUCAAAGAGGCAGAUUUGAGCUUGCAGCCUGUUCUAUACAGAAUGUGUCUCUCUUUGGACUUUCACAGCUAGAGAAAUACAUCCCUCAGUUGUUUGAAGGUGGCCUUGUUAAAGAUGGAACAUUUGUUUCCAUGGUUCAUCACCACAUAAAGAGGUUGUGUGCUGAAAUGUUGAAGGAUGCUGUUGCUUUGGUGGAUGCCUUUGCCCCUCCUGACUUCAUCCUACGGUCUGCUCUUGGAAAUGCAGAUGGAGAGGUUUAUCAGCAUUUAAAAACUACGAUGUUCUCUGCUCCUGGUGCUAUGUCUCGUCCAAAACACUGGAAAGAGAUGAGAUACAAUGUCCCUUCAUCAAAGCUGUAGUAAAAAGAUAAUUUGAGAGGAAUUCCAAACUUGGUGCUGUAUUUUAGUCACAAUUUAGUAGUGUUGGUACUGUAGUUCAAUAUAUA